rnacentral:rRNA from 1 species
CCUACGGGUUGCACCAGUGGGGAAUAUUGCACAAUGGGCGCAAGCCUGAUGCAGCCAUGCCGCGUGUGUGAAGAAGGCCUUCGGGUUGUAAAGCACUUUCAGCGGGGAGGAAGGCGGUGAGGUUAAUAACCGCAGCAAUUGACGUUACCCGCAGAAGAAGCACCGGCUAACUCCGUGCCAGCAGCCGCGGUAAUACGGAGGGUGCAAGCGUUAAUCGGAAUUACUGGGCGUAAAGCGCACGCAGGCGGUCUGUCAAGUCGGAUGUGAAAUCCCCGGGCUCAACCUGGGAACUGCAUUCGAAACUGGCAGGCUAGAGUCUUGUAGAGGGGGGUAGAAUUCCAGGUGUAGCGGUGAAAUGCGUAGAGAUCUGGAGGAAUACCGGUGGCGAAGGCGGCCCCCUGGACAAAGACUGACGCUCAGGUGCGAAAGCGUGGGGAGCAAACAGGAUUAGAUACCCCCGUAGUC